rnacentral:rRNA from 1 species
UUUAUUGUUAGAAAUAACUUGAGAUUAAGGGCUUUAGUAUAUUUUAUAGAAGAGGCUACAAUUAUAUUUAUAGUUUAUUGUACUGUAAGGGGUAUAUGUAUUAUUAUUAUAAAAGUAUUUUUUAUUUAUUGUACCUUUUGCAUCAGGGUUUAUCAAUUUAUUUUUAUUAAUAAUAAAUUAUCCCGAAAUUAGAAGAGAUAAUUGAAAUUGUUAGUUUUUGUUUCAUAAUCAUUAAUAAAUUUUAAUUGGGAAAGAUAUUUUAUUCAGUUUUAAAUAUCUGGUUUUUUAAUAAAUGAAUUUAAUUCAGGAUUAUUUAAUUUAUAUGCUAAAUUAAAUUAGUUUAUAUUAUAAUAAUCUAAUAUAAUAGGGGAUAAGCUCUAUUUUAUAUUUAUAAUAUCUUGUAUUAUUAGUGAAGUUUUUAGGUUUAGUAACAUCCAUUAUUUAUUUCGUUAUAGUUAUCUUUACUUUAUUAUUUAUUUAAUAUAUAUAUUUAAAUUAUUAUUAAAAUUUUUAAUUAAAUUUUAUUUUUAAAGUAAUAAUGAUAGAAUUAGUAAUUUUGAAAAAUAGUAUAUAGGAACUCGGCAACAAUUACGCUUGCCUGUUUAUCAAAAACAUGUCUUGAGGUUAUAUAUAUUUCAAGUCGAGCCUGCUCAAUGAUGGUUAUUAAUAAUAACUUUAAAUAGCCGCAGUAUUUUGACUGUGCGAAGGUAGCAUAAUCAUUUGUCUUUUAAUUGUAGGCUUGUAUGAAUGGUUUGACAAAGUGUAAUCUUUCUUUAUACUUAUAUUUAUGAACUUAAUUUUUGAGUUAAAAAGCUUAAAUUAAUUUAUAGGACGAGAAGACCCUAUAGAAUUUUAUUUAAUGGAUAUUAUAUUAAUUUUUGGUUUAAGUUUAUUUUAAUUUAAUAUUUAUUAAAUUUUGUUGGGGCGACAGGGAAAUUGGGUUAACUUUCUUUUUUUAUUUUUUAUUGAUUGAUAUAUUAUUGAUCCUGAUUUAGGAUUAUAAGAUUAAAUUACCUUAGGGAUAACAGCGUAAUUUCUUUUAAGAGUUCAAAUCGAUAAAGGAGUUUGCGACCUCGAUGUUGGAUUAAAAUUAGUUUAGGGUGCAGUAGUUCUAAUACUAGGUCUGUUCGACCUUUAAAAUUUUACAUGAUCUGAGUUCAGACCGGCGUGAGCCAGGUUGGUUUCUAUCCUUAAUAAAUAAAUUACAUUUUAGUACGAAAGGACCAUAUGUUGAAUUAAAUUAAUUUUUAUUAUGAUUUAUAUUAAUUUAC